rnacentral:rRNA from 1 species
AACAGUUCCCUGUUCCAAUGGGAUUAAAUAACCGCAGUAUUUAAUUGUGCUAAGGUAGCAUAAUAAUUUUUUCUUUAAUUGAGAGGUAGAAUGAAAGGGUUAAUAAAGUGAUAACUGUGUUAACGUGAUAUAAUAAUUUUAUAAGGAGGUUAGAAUGCCUUCUAGAAUUAAAGGGACGACAAGACCCUAGAAGCUUUGAGGUUAUCAAUAAGGAGAACUAUUUAACUGGGGCGGUUGUUAUUGAAAACAAUAAAGUAGGAACAUUAUAAAUGGUUUAUAUGAUCUUGAGUUAAACAUGAAGAUGAACACAUUGCAGACCAAGUGG